rnacentral:lncRNA from 1 species
GCUAAUAGCGGUUCAGCACCAAAUCUUGGAUGAUUUCAUAAUAUGGAAACAAGACCAGACUGGAAAAACUACAGCAGAGAAAAGCCAUUUCACUUUGGAUCUUCUGUGACUAUUUGGUGUAGUGAUGUUUAGUAAGAUUUAAGGUACUGAAAGAUGUCCAGUGCAAUAAUUCAAGAUUUGAAUAAGCGUAUUACUAGCAACAAAGCAGAGCUCCUUGCCUGAGACCCAUGACAAAGAUACAGUGUGCAGCCUGAAGAACAGGUUGGAACUCAGACCAAGGAAUGGUUUUUAUCUCCAUGAAAAAAAAAAGGCAUGUCUUCGUGAUGGUUGGAAACAAAACCUUUUCAUAUUUGUACAGGAAGGUGCUACCCGCAGACUUCAUAAGUCAGCAGAUCGACUCUGUCUGGUCUAGAGAAUGUCUAGAACAUGGAUAUCCAUCAUCUCAUCAUUAUUAUGAAAAUGCUUUGAGUGGUAUCAGGAGUGGGGUGGAUGUGCUAUCAAGACCUGCAGUCCACAGAGCAGUGCACUGUUGUACAGUUCUAGGGCUCCAUCACCCACCCCCUCCUCCUCCUCAGCGUCGCCAGCACUACCCAACACCGUCAUUCAAAAAGACACUCUUAAAUAUCUGCAAGUUUUCUCAACAGUGUGAAAUGCUGAAGGAAAAGAGAUGA